AGGUCAGGCGGGACUACCCGCUGAGUUUAAGCAUAUCAAUAAGCGGAAGGAA
rnacentral:rRNA from 2 species